rnacentral:rRNA from 1 species
GAUCCUGGCUCAGGAUGAACGCUANCGGGAGGCCUAAUACAUGCAAGUCGAACGGUAACAGGUAGCAAUACGCUGACGAGUGGCGCACGGGUGCGUAACGCGUACACAAUCUGCCUUAUACUGGGGCAUAGCCUUUGGAAACGAAGAAUAAUUCCCCAUAAUAUAUAGAAGAGGCAUCUCUUUUAUAUUAAAGCUCAGGCGGUAUAAGAUGAGUGUGCGUCCGAUUAGGUAGUUGGUGAGGUAACGGCUCACCAAGCCAACGAUCGGUAGCUGGUCUGAGAGGAUGAUCAGCCACACGGGCACUGAGACACGGGCCCGACUCCUACGGGAGGCAGCAGUAGGGAAUAUUGGACAAUGGGCGCAAGCCUGAUCCAGCCAUCCCGCGUGAAGGAUGAAGGUCCUCUGGAUUGUAAACUUCUUUUCUUCGGGAAUAAAAACUGGGGUUCUCCUCAGCUUGAAGGUACCGAAGGAAUAAGCACCGGCUAACUCCGUG